CCCGUAGGCGGUUCGUCGCGUCCGGUGUGAAAGUCCAUCGCUUAACGGUGGAUCCGCGCCGGGUACGGGCGGGCUUGAGUGCGGUAGGGGAGACUGGAAUUCCCGGUGUGACGGUGGAAUGUGUAGAUAUCGGGAAGAACACCAAUGGCGAAGGCAGGUCUCUGGGCCGUCACUGACGCUGAGGAGCGAAAGCGUGGGGAGCGAACA
rnacentral:rRNA from 1 species